AACGAACGCUGGCGGCAUGCCUAACACAUGCAAGUCGAACGAGACCUUCGGGUCUAGUGGCGCACGGGUGCGUAACGCGUGGGAACCUGCCCUUAGGUUCGGAAUAACUCCCCGAAAGGGGUGCUAAUACCGGAUAAUGUCUUCGGACCAAAGAUUUAUCGCCUUUGGAUGGGCCCGCGUUGGAUUAGCUAGUUGGUAGGGUAAAAGCCUACCAAGGCGACGAUCCAUAGCUGGUCUGAGAGGAUGAUCAGCCACACUGGGACUGAGACACGGCCCAGACUCCUACGGAAGGGAGCAGUGGGGAAUAUUGGACGAUGGGCGAAAGCCUGAUCCAGCAAUGCCGCGUGAGUGAUGAAGGCCUUAGGGUUGUAAAGCUCUUUUACCCGGGAUGAUAAUGACGGUACCGGGAGAAUAAGCUCCGGCUAACUCCGUG
rnacentral:rRNA from 1 species